rnacentral:rRNA from 1 species
ACGGGUGCGUAACGCGUGGGAAUCUGCCCUUGGGUUCGGAACAACAGUUAGAAAUGACUGCUAAUACCGGAUGAUGUCUUCGGACCAAAGAUUUAUCGCCCAAGGAUGAGCCCGCGUAAGAUUAGCUAGUUGGUGGGGUAAUGGCCCACCAAGGCGACGAUCUUUAGCUGGUCUGAGAGGAUGAUCAGCCACACUGGGACUGAGACACGGCCCAGACUCCUACGGGAGGCAGCAGUGGGGAAUAUUGGACAAUGGGCGAAAGCCUGAUCCAGCAAUGCCGCGUGAGUGAUGAAGGCCUUAGGGUUGUAAAGCUCUUUUACCAGGGAUGAUAAUGACAGUACCUGGAGAAUAAGCUCCGGCUAACUCCGUGCCAGCAGCCGCGGUAAUACGGAGGGAGCUAGCGUUGUUCGGAAUUACUGGGCGUAAAGCGUACAUAGGCGGUUAUUCAAGUCAGAGGUGAAAGCCCGGGGCUCAACCCCGGAACGGCCUUUGAAACUAGAUAGCUAGAGUCUUGGAGAGGUUAGUGGAAUUCCGAGUGUAGAGGUGAAAUUCGUAGA